GCUGGGUGUGGUGGCACUUGCCUGUAAUCCCAGCUACUCGGGAGGCUGAGGCAGGAGAAUCACUUGAACCCAGGAGGCAGAGGCUGCAGUGAGCCGAGAUCGAGCCACUGCACUCCAGCCUGGGUGACAGAGUGAGACUCUGUCUCAA
rnacentral:SRP_RNA from 1 species